rnacentral:rRNA from 1 species
GAUGAACGCUAGCUACAGGCUUAACACAUGCAAGUCGAGGGGUAACGAGAGGAAAGCUUGCUUUCCUUGUCGACGACCGGCGCACGGGUGAGCAACGCGUAUCCAACCUGCCCCCAACUAGGGAAUAACCUUGCGAAAGUAAGACUAAUACCCUAUAAUUUCCUCAGAUGUCAUCUGACGAGGAAUAAAGAUUUAUCGGUUGUGGAUGGGGAUGCGUCUGAUUAGCUUGUUGGCGGGGUAACGGCCCACCAAGGCAACGAUCAGUAGGGGUUAUGAGAGGAAGGUCCCCCACAUUGGAACGGAGACACGGUCCAAACUCCUACGGGAGGCAGCAGUGAGGAAUAUUGGUCAAUGGGCGGAAGCCUGAACCAGCCAAGUAGCGUGCAGGAUGACGGCCCUAUGGGUUGUAAACUGCUUUUAUACAGGAAUAAAGUUAGCCACGUGUGGUUAUUUGUAGGUACUGUAUGAAUAAGGACCGGCUAAUUCCGUGCCAGCAGCCGCCGUAA